AUUGAACGCUGGCGGCAUGCCUUACACAUGCAAGUCGAACGGCAGCACGGGUGCUUGCACCUGUUGGCGAGUGGCGAACGGGUGAGUAAUACAUCGGAACAUGUCCUGUAGUGGGGGAUAGCCCGGCGAAAGCCGGAUUAAUACCGCAUACGAUCUACGGAUGAAAGCGGGGGACCUUCGGGCCUCGCGCUUUAGGGUUGGCCGAUGGCUGAUUAGCUAGUUGGUGGGGUAAAGGCCUACCAAGGCGACGAUCAGUAGCUGGUCUGAGAGGACGACCAGCCACACUGGGACUGAGACACGGCCCAGACUCCUACGGGAGGCAGCAGUGGGGAAUUUUGGACAAUGGGCGAAAGCCUGAUCCAGCAAUGCCGCGUGUGUGAAGAAGGCCUUCGGGUUGUAAAGCACUUUUGUCCGGAAAGAAAUCCUUGGCCCUAAUACGGUCGGGGGAUGACGGUACCGGAAGAAUAAGCACCGGCUAACUACGUG
rnacentral:rRNA from 1 species